CCUACGGGUGGCAGCAGUGGGGAAUAUUGGACAAUGGGCGAAAGCCUGAUCCAGCCAUGCCGCGUGUGUGAAGAAGGCCUUCGGGUUGUAAAGCACUUUCAGUGGGGAAGAAAGCCUUGGGGCUAAUACCCUCGAGGAAGGACAUCACCCACAGAAGAAGCACCGGCUAACUCCGUGCCAGCAGCCGCGGUAAUACGGAGGGUGCGAGCGUUAAUCGGAAUUACUGGGCGUAAAGCGCGCGUAGGCGGUCUGAUAAGCCGGUUGUGAAAGCCCCGGGCUCAACCUGGGAACGGCAUCCGGAACUGUCAGGCUAGAGUGCAGGAGAGGAAGGUAGAAUUCCCGGUGUAGCGGUGAAAUGCGUAGAGAUCGGGAGGAAUACCAGUGGCGAAGGCGGCCUUCUGGACUGACACUGACGCUGAGGUGCGAAAGCGUGGGUAGCAAACAGGAUUAAAUACCCGAGUAGUC
rnacentral:rRNA from 1 species